ensembl:misc_RNA 7SK 7SK RNA
GGACAUGAGGGCGAUCUGGCUGCGACAUCUGUCACCCAUUGAUCGCCAGGGUUGAUUCGGCUGAUCUGGCUGGCUAGGCGGGCCUCCCCUUCCUCCCUCACUGCUCUAUGUGCGUCCUUCCCAAAGCUGCACGUGGGUUCUAAAGGACGACCACCCCCGAUAGAGGAGGACCAUUUCCUCCGUCAAGGGUAUGGGAGUAGCUGCGCUCCCCUGCUGCAACCUCCAAAUAAGCACUCAACGACCAUGUAGAAAAGCAGAAGUUUAAAUUUUAAGCAAUAAACCAAAAUUGGCAAAAAUACCUGGUUCAAAAAUAUCAGCC